GGAGAUGAAGCUUUUACCAACUCAUAAGGGUCUUUUACAGGGAAAAACUCCAAUAUUUGGCAUGGUUAUAGGGCUAGUAGUGAACGAUGCUACUGUCAUGGUUGGAGAUCCUAAACGUGUAAUAAAAGACAGGAAUAUCGUUGUAGGAGUGACGGGGA